UUACGGGAGGCAGCAAUUAGGAAUCUUGCACAAUGGGGGAAACCCUGAUGCAGCGACGCCGCGUGAAGGAUGAAGGUUCUCGGAUCGUAAACUUCUUUUAAUGGGGAAGAAAUUUGACGGUACCCAUUGAAUAAGCCCCGGCUAACUACGUGCCAGCAGCCGCGGUAAUACGUAGGGGGCGAGCGUUGUCCGAAGUUACUGGGCGUAAAGCGCGCGUAGGCGGUUUUUUAAGUCUGGGGUGAAAGGUUCAGCGCUCAACGUGAACAGUGCCUUGGAUACUGGAAGACUUGAAUCUGGAAGAGGGUAGUGGAAUUCCUGGUGUAGCGGUGAAAUGCGUAGAUAUCAGGAGGAACACCAAUGGCGAAGGCAGCUACCUGGUCUAAGAUUGACGCUGAGGUGCGAAAGCGUGGGGAGCAAACGGGAUUAGAAACCCCAGUAGUCCU
rnacentral:rRNA from 1 species